GCAAACUUGGUCAUUUAGAGGAAGUAAAAGUCGUAACAAGGUUUCCGUAGGUGAACCUGCGGAAGGAUCAUUAAUGAGUUUGAAAUCGGGAGCCUGUUGCUGGUGCGGAAACGCAUAUCGUGCACGGCUUCUGUGCUCAAUCCAUUUCAACCCCUGUGCACCUAAUCAAAGCGAGUAGUCUCUCUUUAUUUGUUGGUUGUAUGCAGGAAGGGGGACGAAUUACUAUGAGUAUGUCGGUAAGGCGAACGCACCUUUUUCGGUGUUACUAGCUUGAAGGCGAAAGUAGUAGUAGUAGUCCUUCUGUUCGCUUGGCCGGCAAGGAAGUGGGUCGAAAGCUUUGACUUCUUUUAAACACUUUGUAUGUCUUGUGGAAUGUAUUAGCUCCUUGUGGGCGAAAUAAAUACAACUUUCAACAACGGAUCUCUUGGCUCUCGCAUCGAUGAAGAACGCAGC
rnacentral:misc_RNA from 1 species